ensembl:lncRNA
UACGACUAUAGGCCUAUGUCACGGAACAAUUGAAGACCGGAAGAAGCUCGCGGAGUAGGGUAACUGCUCUUCCGCUUAGCUUAGCUAAACUGUUUACCAUGGCGGAGGCAGAUCAAUACCUUUGGACCAAGUCUCUCCAACCUACCUAAAUUGUCCUACGACGACGUCCUAAGGAUAGUAAAUCAGCACUUACGUGUCGAAACAUCUAAACUACGCAAAGGAUAUAAGUUAUUCUGGGAGAAGUACAUUUUUAAUUACAUAGACACAUGACAACCACUUCACAGGGGAGAAAAGCGUGCCAACACCUCUGUCGUGCACCAGUGUUCUGCAGACGUGGACCAAGGACACAGGGGAUUCGCUCCAGGGGAAUCGCCCGGAACCCAUUGACCAACUUGUGGUCAGGAAACCCAAGGUUUGGCACUUUGAGUCUUCCCUUGUGUAUGAAAAGUGCUAAAUAAAGUUGCCUUGCCUAACACACACAGAACAUUUCAUUUCUUUCUGUUAAAUGUAAAUAUGUAUAUAUGUAAAUUUAAAAAAAAGAACUGGAAACAAACAUUAAAUAAACAUUUGAAAAGGACGGACGGACACAAACACACACACACCAUUUUAAUUUCUUUCUGCUAAAUGUAAA